rnacentral:ribozyme from 1 species
CGGGAGUGCCGAGGAACGUCCGGGCUCCACAGAGCAGGGCGGUGGGUAACACCCACCCGGAGCAAUCCGCGAGACAGUGCCACAGAAAGCAGACCGCCGGCGGCGACGUCGGUAAGGGUGAAACGGUGGUGUAAGAGACCACCAGGGGUCCGGGUGACCGGAUCCGCUCGGUAAACCUCGCCCGGAGCAAGGUCAGACAGAGGACGACGAGGCUGCUCGCUGAGUCCUCGGGUGGACCGCU